AAAACAAAAUCUCAUUAUAGACUUCAAAAAAAAAAUAAUCGAUUUAAUCGUUUGAAAUUGAGACGUAAUUAAUUGUACAUUCAUAAUUAAAAUUAUCAUGAUUCGAAUCUAUUGAUAUGUAUUAUCUGCUUUAACUUACGAUCCCAUAAAUUUAUUUUUUCAACCACGCAAAUUGAGCUAUGCUUUAUAAGAAUCAACUUAAAUAAUUUAAUUUAACAAACUUAUAAUAGUCGAUAAAUAUAAUAUAUAUAUAUAUAUAUAUAUAUAUAUAUAUAUAUAUAUAUAUAAUCGUAUAUAUAAGCUAUAAAAACUUCGUAUCCUUAGAAAUUUGUUAGUCCUGCUUUGACUCAUCCUCGUCGAGAUGAGAUAAGUGAAGGGAGAAGAAGGAAUCGAAGAAAUUUCAUCUAAAAUUCUCAAAUUAAGAAAAUAGAAAGAGCUAAUAGUAGUAGUACCUGAACGCAUCGAAGUGGUACCACCGAAGAGAAUCGGAAUCGGAAUCAGAGCCACCGCCGUGAGAGUUAGCGAACAUGAAAA